GACGAACGCUGGCGGCGUGCUUAACACAUGCAAGUCGAACGGAAAGGCCCGACUUUUCUUGUCUGCUCGAGUGGCGAACGGGUGAGUAACGCGUGAGUAACCUGCCCUUUACUGUGGGAUAACUUCAGGAAACUGUAGCUAAUACCGCAUAAGAGCUCCUGCUGCAUGGUGGUGGUUUGAAAGUUUCGACGGUUGGGGAUGGACUCGCGGCUUAUCAGCUUGUUGGUGGGGUAGUGGCUUAGCCCGGCUUUGACGGGUAGCCGGACUGAGACGGUGACAGGCCCCAUUGGGCUUCAGAUGCGGGCCAGACGGCUACGGGAGGAAGGAGUGGAAAACAUUGCAAGCUACGCGGAAGCAGUAAGGAGGAACGUCGCGUGCGAGAUGACGUUCUUAGGGUAGUAACCCGCUUUAGAGUGGGAAGAAGAGUGAGUGACGGUAAUGGAUAAGGAAGCAACGGCUAACUACGUG
rnacentral:rRNA from 1 species